GACAGAGGGUGCAAACGUUGUUCGGAAUUACUGGGCGUAAAGCGUGUGUAGGCGGUCUGCUAAGUCGGGUGUGAAAGCCCCGGGCUCAACCCGGGAAGUGCACUCGAAACUGGCAGGCUAGAGUAUCGGAGAGGUUGGUGGAAUUCUCGGUGUAGAGGUGAAAUUCGUAGAUAUCGAGAGGAACACCGGUGGCGAAGGCGGCCAACUGGACGAAUACUGACGCUGAGACACGAAAGCGUGGGGAGCAAACAGG
rnacentral:rRNA from 1 species